AGUGAAUAUCAAUUUUCAUUAAGUAAAUAACCCAUGCUUUUCUUUGACUCAAUACUAAUCUUCAGAGAUGUUAACUACUGGACUCCUAUGCUAUAUGCAUGUUGAGGCGAGUCAAAAGAGAAGAAGGAAGUAACUGAGGACAGCCCAGAGAAAAACCCUAGGAGGGAUAUAGGUGGCAUAAAGUUAAAAAAGAAAUGACUACUGAGUAGUAGAAGAAGUAAAGAUGGAAAGGUAACUACGGUUGGGAAGAGUUGUAUAACAUUGCUAUUUUCUAUUCACUUUUCUUUUUAAAGUUUUACUGGUCUAACAUAAUGCCAAGUAGGUAUUUCUGAGGUGUUUUGUUUCUAGUAUCAUCACCAUUUAUUCAGUAUACUUCAGUCUAAUGGAAUGGCAGGAACAGUAAACCAAUAAUUAUAAUGAAUAUUAUAAAUGCUGUAAAGGAGCUCUGAGGAGCUACAGGCACAAAAGCACCUAUCUCAGCUGAAAAUUAUAAAUGGUGGUGGGGAUGAUGGUGUGUAUUUUAGGCAGAAGUUACCAAAGAUACAGAGACAGAGCAUGAUGCAUUUAACGAAAUAGCAUCUAUAUCAGAUUAGCAGGAGAACAGGAUACAGGUAGAGGGGAGUGGCAGAUGAGACUAGAGUGGUAGCAUGGGCCAGGCCAUGGUAAGAAAUUCAUGAUGUAACCAUGGGAAGUCACCAAAGAUAAGGAAGACAAGAACAUUUCAGAUUAGUGUCUCAAAAGGGAAGAGAAGCACAAGAUGCAAGGUUGGGAGACCAACUGCAAGUCAAAACAGUUUAGGACUCUAGAUGAUAGGAAAGGGGGAUCUGAACUAGGGCUAAUAAAAAGGAAAGAUAUUAAGAAAGUUAUUUGAAAGAUAUUUAGGAGUUGGAAUCAAGAAAUGAGAAAGGAGGAGUCUAGGAGGGUUCCCAGGUUUCUGGAUAGAGCAAAUGGACAGAAAUGCUAGGUACUAGCAGUAAGAUCCUGUGAUCCCCUGCACAGAAGCUUAACACUACACAGAGAAAUGGAGAAUAGGAUGUCACAACAUUGAUCCAACUUGUAUUAUUAUGCCUGGAGGCAUAGAUCAGUAGUGGAGAUGAACUGCUGCCUUAUUCUUAAUUACUAUCCAGGCCCUCAAACUUUUACAAUUCUUGAUAACCAAUUUGGUUGUGCAAAAGUUCUACCAUAGACCAAGAGCAACAACCUUGACAAUCACCUUAGAAAUAUUUCCUGUCCCUCUUCUGAGUACACAGUCAGCAACAGAAAACAGAUUUCUAUUUUACAGAAUUUUUUGUGUUUUUUUUUUUUGAGACAGAGUCUCUCACUCUGUUGCCUAGGCUGGAAGUGGGCAACAGAGCAAGGCUCUGUCUCAAAAAAACAAAACAAAACAAAACAAAACCAAACCCUAAAAAAACAAGCAGAAAAGUUAUUGUAGACUAAAAUUAUGCAUUCAAAAGAAGGCAGAAGAAUUCUCUUUUGAUUAAGAGAAAAUAAGACUAUGUUAAAGACUUGGCUGUCCCAAGAAUUACAUCCUUAUUGUAAGUUGAGUUAUAGAAGUGAUCAGCUAGGACAGCCUUUUCC
rnacentral:lncRNA from 1 species